GUCUUUUUGUUAAUUAUUUAAGGUUUGGCCUGCUCCAUGAUUAAAUUAAAUAGCCGCAGUAUUUUGACUGUGCAAAGGUAGCAUAAUCAUUAGUUUUUUAAUUGAAAGCUGGAAUGAAUGGUCGGAUGAGAAAGAAGCUGUCUCAUUAUAAUUUGGGUUGAAUUUUAUUUUUAAGUUAAAAAGCUUAAAUGUUAUAGAAAGACGAGAAGACCCUAUAGAGUUUAAUAAGUUAGUGGGUUAAUUAUUUUAGGGUUUUAAUAUAGUUAGUUUAUUACUUGUUUGGUUGGGGUGACAUGAGAAUUUAAUUAACUUCUUAUAAUUUUAACAUUAAUUAAUGAAUGGAUGAUCCUGAUAUUUGGAUUUUAAGAGAAAAUUACCUUAGGGAUAACAGCGUAAUCUUUUUGGAGAGUUCUUAUCGAUAAAAGGGAUUGCGACCUCGAUGUUGGAUUAAAGUUAAGUUUUGGUGUAGAAGCUAAAAUUUUAAGUCUGUUCGACUUUUAAAACUUU
rnacentral:rRNA from 1 species